GCGAAAGGUGCUUGCACCUUUCAAGUGAGUGGCGAACGGGUGAGUAACACGUGGACAACCUGCCUCAAGGCUGGGGAUAACAUUUGGAAACAGAUGCUAAUACCGAAUAAAACUUAGUGUCGCAUGACAAAAAGUUAAAAGGCGCUUCGGCGUCACCUAGAGAUGGAUCCGCGGUGCAUUAGUUAGUUGGUGGGGUAAAGGCCUACCAAGACAAUGAUGCAUAGCCGAGUUGAGAGACUGAUCGGCCACAUUGGGACUGAGACACGGCCCAAACUCCUACGGGAGGCUGCAGUAGGGAAUCUUCCACAAUGGGCGAAAGCCUGAUGGAGCAACGCCGCGUGUGUGAUGAAGGCUUUCGGGUCGUAAAGCACUGUUGUAUGGGAAGAACAGCUAGAAUAGGAAAUGAUUUUAGUUUGACGGUACCAUACCAGAAAGGGACGGCUAAAUACGUGCCAGCAGCCGCGGUAAUACGUAUGUCCCGAGCGUUAUCCGGAUUUAUUGGGCGUAAAGCGAGCGCAGACGGUUUAUUAAGUCUGAUGUGAAAGCCCGGAGCUCAACUCCGGAAUGGCAUUGGAAACUGGUUAACUUGAGUGCAGUAGAGGUAAGUGGAACUCCAUGUGUAGCG
rnacentral:rRNA from 1 species